rnacentral:rRNA from 1 species
GACGAACGCUGGCGGCGUGCCUAAUACAUGCAAGUAGAACGCACAGUUUAUACCGUAGCUUGCUACACCAUAAACUGUGAGUUGCGAACGGGUGAGUAACGCGUAGGUAACCUGCCUGGUAGCGGGGGAUAACUAUUGGAAACGAUAGCUAAUACCGCAUAAUAUUGAUUAUUGCAUGAUAAUUGAUUGAAAGAUGCUAUUGCAUCACUACCAGAUGGACCUGCGUUGUAUUAGCUAGUAGGUGAGGUAACGGCUCACCUAGGCGACGAUACAUAGCCGACCUGGGAGGGUGGUCGGCCACACUGGGACUGGGACACGGCCCAGACUCCUACGGGAGGCAGCAGUAGGGGAUCUUCGGCAAUGGACGAAAGUCUGACCGAGCAACGCCGCGUGAGUGGAGAAGGUUCUCGGAUCGUAAAGCUCUGUUGUAAGAGAAGAACGGGUGUGAGAGUGGAAAGUUCACACUGUGACGGUAUCUUACCAGAAAGGGACGGCUAACUACGUG